rnacentral:lncRNA from 1 species
AUGACGCACAGUGCUGGCGCAAGUCGUCUUGCGCCAGGCGACUGGGUCUGAGGAGGCAGGAGUUAUUCAUUCCCUUAAGCUUUCAGGCCGGGGGGAGAAUCUUUCAGGUGGUAGCUGCAAGAACUCUUAGUAUGUUGACCUCACCUCUGCCUUCCACAUACCACUACCAGUGAGGAAUUAGGAAUGCAUGAGAAGAGUGUCCAAGAAGAGUGUCCUCAUUCAUGCAAGGCUUAAGAGAGAAUGCAGGUCAACAUCACCAUGUCAAUCAGAGAAUACUUCUGUUGGGUUGAAUGACUCUCUGCCCCCAGGUGCAGAUGCUGAGAGCACUUUCUAGUCAAGUCCUGCAUGUUCAUUUCUGUCUCAAGUCAGCUUCUCUGAGAAUCCAAUUUAUAAAAAUAUAUUUGUGAAUGUAUAAGUAAAGUGACUUGGAUUUUGUCUACGUACAAGGACUUCUAUGCCUGCAUAAAACAGGAAAGAGAUCUUCAUGUAAACAGAGUCCCUCUUAUUGGCUGAAGUGAAGAGUCAUUCUGAGGAGGAUCUGAAAAUGUAGAGGUGAGACGCUAAUGGCAGAGUGGCCUCAGCUUUCACCAGGUUUUGAAAACAUCUGUGAGGGAGGCACCAAAUUCACUGUCCUGCAGCUUUGACUUCCCAAUCCUCGUUGCCUCGUGCUGCCAGCCUGUAUGCUGGUAGAAGUGUGUUCCUGGGAACAUCCUGGCAUCUUGUGUUAGGACUACACUGGUGCAUGGGACAGAUCACGCUCAAGAAGGUCGAUGUAAUUUGAAAAACAGAUGGGCUCUGCUUUGUGAAAACUCCAAGCAUAUGAAGUCUAACUUGAAUAAAAGGCAUCUCAAGAUGAAGGUUUCCUAUUUGUGAUUAUGAAAAAAAUGUCAAGAACAAGUCCCUUGGUGUUCUUAGACCAAAGUCAGAACAACAGACCUAGUAUUUGUCUGGGGCUGGCUGUGCACCCAGAAGGCCAUUCGUUCCAUGAAGAACAUGACAGAGGUACCUGGUCCUACCUGGAUUCUUGGGCAUGCGGGCAGCAGCAGCAGCAGCAGCCACAGUGAACUUCAUCCUAAGGAAAUUAAGCACACGUUGCGUGAGGCUGCUGUGGGGGUGCCAGGUGCUGAGGUUUCUGUAGUGGAUAAAACACAAAAAUACCAGCCCUCAUGGUGAAAAUGGAAUGACAAUAAACAAGAUAAAUUAGAUCUAUGCAACAAAACCAAGCCUUUGUGCACAUCUGUGGUUGUGACCAGUUGGAGAGACAUUAGGAGAUGAGAUACUAUGUUCACUCCUCACAGCUGUACCAGGGACCUGAGAUAUUCCGUCACUAUUCUAUGAGAUUUUGGAGAUCCCACCAGUGGUUUUCCGGUGCCAGGGUAUGAGAAGAUAGUCUCCAUGUCCAAACUCACAAUUUCAGAACAAAUUUCAUCAAGAUAAAGGCCUGGGCUGGUGAAUGGUUCCUGCUUUCACUAUUCCAGAUGUCCAGCUCUGUACCUUGCUGCUCUCCUUAAAGCCUGCCUCCCUCUAGAUGGUCUGGCUUGAUGAUAUCCAACCUGACGUGGCCUGAAGAGACAGACAGUGGCUCUUGCUAGCUAAUUAUUGUCAGAUGGAUCGGCAGCCGACCAACGCUUCUGAAACUAUUGUUUUUGGCAAAUGUUCCUCAACAUUUUCCUGGGAGCUAUGGUGCAUUACUCACGAGUGACAGAACCAACGAGCUUCAUCUCCCAAGAGGCUGGUGCAUCUGUUUAAAGGAGCAGGCACUAGGCAGAGCAGCCCCCACCCCACCCUCCAUGGCAGAGUGCAGUGGGGGAAGAAGUUUUCAUAGAAAUGCUUUCUAUAAAGCAUUUUCAUAGAGAAAGCAGGUUCAUAUAGAAAGCACUGGCUGCUGGUUGGAGUGGAGAGAUUGAAGACCCUCAUCUAGGAUCAAGCAACCCCCAGAAAACAAUUUUAAACAUGUCCAUUCAGACAAAAGGAGUCCAAAACCAUAAGAUCCUCUCAGCAUCCUGAACUAAUGUCCAGCUGUUAUCUCGGGAUGGGAUUUCACCAUGUUGUCCAAGCUGGUUUUGAACUCCUGGGGUCAAGAAAUCCA